CGAGCAGGGACGAAAGUCGGGACUAGUGAUCCGGCAGUGGCUUGUGGAAGCGCUGUCGCUCAACGGAUAAAAGGUACCUCGGGGAUAACAGGCUGAUCUUGCCCAAGAGUCCAUAUCGACGGCAUGGUUUGGCACCUCGAUGUCGGCUCGUCGCAUCCUGGGGCUGGAGUCGGUCCCAAGGGUUGGGCUGUUCGCCCAUUAAAGCGG
rnacentral:rRNA from 13 species